UGGGGAAUUUUCCGCAAUGGGCGAAAGCCUGACGGAGCAAUACCGCGUGAGGGAUGAAUGCCUAUGGGUUGUAAACCUCUUUUUUCAGGGAGGAACAAAAUGACGUGUACCUGAAGAAUAAGCAUCGGCUAACUCCGUGCCAGCAGCCGCGGUAAGACGGAGGAUGCAAGUGUUAUCCGGAAUCACUGGGCGUAAAGCGUCUGUAGGUGGUCAAAUAAGUCAACUGUUAAAUCUUGAGGCUUAACCUCAAAAUCGCAGUCGAAACUAUUAGACUAGAGUAUAGUAGGGGUAAAGGGAAUUUCCAGUGGAGCGGUGAAAUGCGUAGAGAUUGGAAAGAACACCGAUGGCGAAGGCACUUUACUGGGCUAUUACUAACACUCAGAGACGAAAGCUAGGGUAGCAAAUGGGAUUAGAUACCCCAGUAGUC
rnacentral:rRNA from 1 species